rnacentral:tRNA from 1 species
GUAAUUUACCUACACUAACCUAUUA